GAUGAAGAACGUAGCGAAAUGCGAUACGUAAUGUGAAUUGCAGAAUUCAGUGAAUCAUCGAAUCUUUGAACGCAUAUUGCGCUCUUUGGUAUUCCGAAGAGCAUGCUUGUUUGAGUAUCAGUAAACACCUCAAAGCUUUUGGAUUUUUUAAUCGAAAAGCUUUGGACUUGAGCAAUCCCAACACCAAUCUUUUUGAGAUCGGUGGCGGGUUGCUUGAAAUGCAGGUGCAGCUGGACAUUCUCCUGAGCUAAAAGCAUAUUCAUUUAGUCCCGUCAAACGGAUUAUUACUUUUGCUGCAGCUAACAUAAAGGGAGUUUGACCGUAUUGGCUGACUGAUGCAGGAUUUCACAAGGGUCGGCAACGAUUCUUGUUAAACUCGAUCUCAAAUCAAGUAAGACUACCCGCUGAACUUAAGCAUAUCAUAAGCGGAGGA
rnacentral:misc_RNA from 1 species